ensembl:snoRNA SNORA70 Small nucleolar RNA SNORA70
CUGCAUCCAGUUAAGCUGAUCAGGUUCCUGUCCUUAUGGGGACCUGGUGUGCAAUGGCUGCAAACAGCAACCUCCUUAGUAGGGCAUGCAGCAUGUUGCAUGUAUGGGUUGCCCUAAGAGACCUUGGAGAUAGUU